rnacentral:rRNA from 1 species
UACGAAGGGGGCUAGCGUUGCUCGGAAUUACUGGGCGUAAAGGGCGCGUAGGCGGACAGUUUAGUCAGAGGUGAAAGCCCAGGGCUCAACCUUGGAACUGCCUUUGAUACUGGGGAUCUUGAGUCCGGGAGAGGUGAGUGGAACUGCGAGUGUAGAGGUGAAAUUCGUAGAUAUUCGCAAGAACACCAGUGGCGAAGGCGGCUCACUGGCCCGGUACUGACGCUGAGGUGCGAAAGCGUGGGGAGCAAACAGG